GCUUGCUGUCAAUAAAUAUGUGGGUAAAUCUCUGUUUGGGGCUCUCAGCUCUGAAGGCUGUGAGACCCGAUUUCCCACUCCACACUCUGUAUUUCUGUGUGAGUGUCUUUAAUUCCUCUGGCGCCGCUGGGUUAGGGUCUCCACGACUGAGCUGAUCUCAGUAUCUACCACAUUCUGCUUUAUUCUCUUCUCUAGGGUAAGAAAAAUCACAAUACAUGGGUAUUCAAUAAAAUUCAAUUAAUUUAAGCCUGACUCUUGAGAAUGUGCAAUUGAAGGUUAUGAAUGUGUCACACCUAAGGUGGUGGUAGAAGUCUCUGGCACAUGGAAAAUGCCUGUUUUAACUUUUAGCUAUUUUUUUCAGGUUUUUGUCAUUAGAAUAUUUCUUCUGUUUCUACUGCAAAUAACUAUCAAAAAGGAAAAGAACAACUAGGAUGGCCUCCCCUGUUUAUCAUUGGCCCUACAAUUUUCUAGGAGUAAUAUCUUUUUGGAAUUAUGUAAUGUCCUCUGCUAAUGACAGUGUAUAGAUGCUAUUACAUUUCCUUGGGGGACAAAGUACUGUUGUCUGGAAGCUUUGAGAUUAAUGUAACACAAAGUAAAUAAGGAAGCGUUUUGCAUAUUCUUAGAUUUUUACAUUUUUAUUUUAAAACAGAGAAUUUCAUAUUGAUUAACACCUACUACUAAACAGAAUGAUGCAUUAAUUAAAUGCCUUGUCCUAACUGUUAUAAGCUCUGUUAGAAAAAUAAACAUCUCACCACAAACUACAGUGUCAGCUCUUUAAUAAAUACAUAAAACAGAAGUUAGUAGUCAAUCAGAGUUAUAUGAACAGGUUCAUAGUAUAUUAUGUGAAAGUAUCAUAUUCUCCAAUAUUCUGUAUCAUUUAAGACAAUUUAAGUUACGUAUAAUUCAAAGCCAGAAAUAAUAAGAAAUAUGUUCAGUGAUAAUUUGCUUCUUUCUUAGAGCUAUUUUAUAUUCAAAUAUUUAAUUUAAAAAUAUAUUCUAUAUUAAAUUUAUUUUUACAAACGCAGUAUUCGUUAGGUGAAACAAAAUAAGUUUUUAUGUUACUGAUAAGUUUAAUACAUUUCUAAUUUUUUUCAGAAGUUCAAGAAACCAUAAUGAAGUAGCUAAUGUAAAAUAGUUUAAAAGCUAUGUUAAAUAUACACAAAAUGAAUUUCUAUAUUAAUAUGUGCAAAUGUAUAUUUUCUUAUAAUUUAGAAUUAAAGUACUUUAUACUCAAUAUUCUUAAUAAAAUUUAUGUACCAUACUUGUCAUUGCGUAGACUUCUUAUCAAAAUUUCACAUUUAUCUGUAGGAAAAUGUAAAGUUGGUAAAAAUUGUUUACACAAAUCACACAUUUUCCAUCCUUGACAAUUGCAGUGUUUUUUUUUUAAAUAUUGCUGUAUUAGACAAUUUUAACUGAAGUAGGUUGUAGAGGCUAGAAGAAACCUGAUUAAUAGAGUUAGCUUACAAAGAUAAAUUUUAUGCAGAAAAGUAUUCCAGGUAGAUAAAAGAGUAGUGUUAUUACUCUCAGGUUUACAUUAACAGCUGCCCAGAUAGCUGAACAAUUAUUUCAUAUAAUUCAAAUAAUUUAAAUAUGCAGUUUUAUAACAGUCGUUACAUAAGCUUGAAGUUAAAGUGAUCAGAGCCAAGGGGGAAAAACCCACAAAUGAUAAAGAAGAAUAAAAAGUAAGAGGACUCUAGAAGAAAGUUGUUUUUCACAGCACUGAUUGUUUUUAUCAUAUUUUUCUCCUGCCAUUGAUACAAGACAUAAAUGUCACAAUUUCAGAGAUGUUAAAUUGAAAAAGUGAUGUCUUGGAAUCAAUGAAAUAUAAAUAUGGAUAUGUAUAAUCAGUUAUACAUAAAAAUUUGCUAUAGAGGAAUUAUAAAAGAAAAGGAAAAUUAUUUGAAAGAAUGUUAGCUAUAUCUCAGUGGUCUGCAUUGCAUAAAAUGGAGUUCUUGAGGUCAAUAUAAAUAAGGAUAGUUGUAAAUUAAAUAUUGAGUCAACAUAACAGAAUGCAAUCUGCACAUGAUUGAGCUCCCAUGUAACUAUAUUUCACUUGAUACUUUUAUGAAAACAUAUAUAUUCCAAAUCCUUCAAAAUGAAAAGAAGCUCAAACAGUUGUGAAAAUUUAGAAUUCUUAGAUUUUAAUGGGUCUGUCUUUGUUCAGGGGCAAAGACUCAAAUGAGCUUUAAGAUCAAUUAAAGAUGUCUGGAAAUGAAGAACUUCAUUAUACCAUUAAAUUCAGUUAUUUUUCACUAUUAGGCUUAUUAAGCUUGAAGCUUUAGGAAAUCUCUUGGGAAGAGUGAGUGGAAAAAACAGGAGUAAGAAAAGGAAGAAAAAGCCUUUGAGUCUAAUCUACUCUACCAGGUUCCAGGAAGAAUAUAAUUCUACAGAGAAAAUUCUUCAUAAUCUAUCAUAAUAUAUUUCAGUGUCUGAUGGCUGACUCUUGUCUUGCAUAAAGAUAUCUUCAGUGGAUAUUAAGUAAAUAUUAAAAAUAUAUUUCAGAUUCAUUCUUUGAAGGAUUGCAUCUCAUGCAUCCACAAAUUUUAAUGUUGAGUUUUGGAAAAUUGCCUCCAGAGAUAUCUACUGUGUUUAAUCUUAGAUUUUUUUUUUAUUUUAAUAAACCAAAGAUAAACUGAACAUUUAAGACAUAAUCAGAUUUUUAGUGAAUUUUUAAGUCCUCCAGAAAAGUCUAUGACUUAAUAAAUAUUAGCAAGUUUCCAAAAAUAUAACAAAUGUUUAUAAAUACGUGUGCACUGCAGUGCAAUGGUGUCCCCAGAGAAAUAAAAUGCAUAACAAAGCAAAUGUUAUGUUGUAGUGUAUGUAUGGCACAUUUAUAAAUCAUUACAUACUUUAGGGCACAAAAAUGCUGCAGUACUAAAAGUGUUGUUCAAGUUCUCAAUUCUGUUAACAAUUUAAAAUUUCAUUAAUUGUGUUUAAUAUCAAUGAAUCUCAAAAGGCUCCUGUGGCCAUAUUAGUUGAAAAUAGACUCUAUUUGCAUACAUUAUUUAACCUAAGAGUACCCUGUGUUCCCUUACCAUUUAAUUAAUUCUAACUAGUCAAAUAUUAAUUCUCAUCUCACAAAUCAUUACACAGGAAGAUAUCAAUUAUUCAAGUAAAAUACAAGCCCUACAAUCUUUAAAAAUUAGCUUUUUAAGUAAAAACAAAAAAGAUAAGCACAAGACUUUGCAAGCAUAACCACAAUCAUCGUCUAACACUGAGUUGCCUACAAGGAAGUUUGUCCCUUCCUAUGGUAACAGCCUUGGUCCACUAUAAAGUUAGUGCAAACAAGUGAGGGUAUAAAAAAAAUAUAAACUCUGGAUUUUUAAGGAUUUCAUUUUGUUAUACUCUUUUUGGAUAAUUCAUUCCAUACGGAAAUUUGUUUAUUGUUCAUAAAUAUCAUAAUGUUCAUUUCAAAAAUUGUCAUCAUCUUAAUGGCUAUCUUACACUUUUUUCUUUUGGAGGGUUGUCAGGCAUCCAUCCAUUUUCCUUUUUAAGAAGAACGUUAUGUGUAUUAGGCUACUAAACCCAAUUUUUACAUUAUUUUUAGUGAUCAAAGGUUUCUUAUACAAGUGACUCACAGUACUGAAUUAUGUCAAUCUCUCAUUUGAGGAAGGAAAUGCAGUUCAAGUUAGCAUUGAAAGUGCUUGGCUGUAGAGGACAUCUAACAGAGCUGCUGUGUUUAUUGGCUCCAGAACAACUUAUUAUAGGUUUUUCAGUUCUCUUUAGGGUAGAAUAUGAGAUGGGGUUAGUCUUCAUCAAAAUGCAGUAUCUAGUACUUUAACUCAAGUGCUGGAAGACAGCAAAUCUUGGAAGUUUAUUAUAAAAAAAAAGAUAUUUCGGAUAGAUUCCUUUGUUGUCAUGGGCAAAACUGUAUAUCCACACAGGACUGUUAGACUCCUAGCCAAUAAAAUCAGACUAAGUCCAUAGGGAUAAGGUAAGUGUAAAUAAAUUUCCAUUGGGGAAGACAGGGCUCAUGGCCCGUGUAUCAAGGUCUCAAGCUGAGCACUGGAGAACUCCAGGGAACACUGUUCAUACAGGCUAUGGUGCGAAGGAAUUCCCCUGUAGGUAUGCCAUACUUCAGUCUCUUAAGAAGCUGAUUAGCAUGAAAGACUGGAAGCUGAUUAUGGACAAUUCAGUUUGAAUUAUUCCUUUCUAUUUUGCUUUGAACUUUCCUCAUACACUUAAGACAUGAGUAAAUCACAUUGAAAAACAUUUGCCAAUUGAAUAUUUUAAAGAUUCAAGAGGUAGCAUGAUAUUGUGCAAUGAACACUGGCCUGACAAUGAGAAGAUAAAAACUCCUUUCCAAUGUGGCCACUUUAUCACUUGAGUGUUUUCUGAGAAAUCGUUUAAGUUUUCUGAGGCUCAGUUCCCUAACUCACUAAAAAGGAGAAUUAGCAGCCUGGCAUGGUGGCUCAUGCCUGUAAUCCCAACACUCUGGGAGGCCGAGGAGGGUAGAUCACCUGAGGUCAGGAGUUUGAGAUCAACCUGUCCAACAUGGCAAAACCCCGUCUCUACUAAAAAUACAAAAAUUAGCUGGGCACGGUGGUGGAUGCCUGUAAUCCCAGCUACUCAGGAGGCUGAGGCAGGAGAACUGCUUGAACCCGGGAGGCAGAGGUUGCAGUGAACCCUAAUUGCGCCAUUGCACUUCAGCCUGGGUGACAAGAGUGAAACUCCGUCUCAAAAAAAAAAAAAAAAAAAAAAAAAGCUUAUUUCUAAGAUAUCAUCUAUUCUCCAAUUUUGUACUUUUAUGAAUUCUGGCAAGAAGGGUUGGAGUGAUUCUGGGAAAGAACAUCCUUAGGCUGCCUUGAAGGGAGAAGAUAAUAUAGCUUUUCAUUUAAAAAAUGCUGAUAUCUACUUGCAAUCAAAAUCUAAGAAAACAUUCAAAAUGUGGUACUUUGCUUGAGGCAGAAUUUCUAACUAUCUUGUGAAUUAAUGAUAAGAUAAAUGAAAUGGCCAAACAAUCCCUUCAGUUUACCAGGUAAGAGGAUACAAAACUCCACACUUGUGCACAAUGAAGCUAUUCAGGUUUUGAUGAUACUUUACAGUGUCCCCUAUUAACAUUCAGCUUUUAAAACUAGUAUUCUGAUAAAGUGACAUUGUAUUAUUAGUUUUUUAUGGCAGUAGUAACUUAGCACUUAAUUAAUCCAGUCAUCUGUGACAUACAUAAACUUAUCCUGUAAAAAAGA
rnacentral:lncRNA from 10 species